GAUGAACGCUGGCGGCGUGCCUAAUACAUGCAAGUCGAGCGAACAGACGAGGCUCUUGCUCCUCUGACGUUAGCGGCGGACGUGUGAGUAACACGUGGAUAACCUACCUAUCAGACUGGGAUAACUUCGGGAAACCGGCGCUAAUCCCGGAUAAUCUAUUGAACCGUAUGGUUCAAUAGUGAAAGUCGGUUUUGCUGUCACUUAUCGAUGGAUCCGCGCCGCAUUAGCUAGUUGUUAAGGUAACGGCUUACCAAGGCGACGAUGCGUAGCCGACCUGAGAGGGGGAUAGGCGACAUGGGAACGGAGACACGGACCAGACUCCUACGGGAGGCAGCAGUAGGGAAUGUGCGGCAGUAGGCGAGAGCAUGACGGAGCAACGCGGAGUGAGUGAUGAAGGUCUUCGGAUCGUAAAAAUCUGUUAUGAGGGAAGAACAAAUGUGGAAGUAACUAUGCACGGCUUGACGGUACCUGAUCAGAAAGCCACGGCUAACUACGUG
rnacentral:rRNA from 1 species